GGUAUUAUACUUUAAUUACAAAAGACUUGAUUUGCAUUCAAAUAAUAGAAUAAACUUAUUUUCUUAAUACCA
rnacentral:tRNA from 1 species